GUGGGGAAUAUUGGACAAUGGGCGAAAGCCUGAUCCAGCCAUGCCGCGUGUGUGAAGAAGGUCUUCGGAUUGUAAAGCACUUUAAGUUGGGAGGAAGGGCAGUAAGUUAAUACCUUGCUGUUUUGACGUUACCGACAGAAUAAGCACCGGCUAACUUCGUGCCAGCAGCCGCGGUAAUACGAAGGGUGCAAGCGUUAAUCGGAAUUACUGGGCGUAAAGCGCGCGUAGGUGGUUGUGUAAGUUGGAGGUGAAAUCCCCGGGCUCGACCUGGGCAAUGGCUCCAAAACUGCAUGACUAGAGUACGGUAGAGGGUAGUGGAAUUGCCUGUGUAGCGGUGAAAUGCGUAUAUAUAGGAAGGAACACCAGUGGCUAAGGCGACUACCUGGACUGAUACUGACACUGAGGUGCGAAAGCGUGGGGAGCAAACAGGAUUAGAAACCCCUGUAGUCC
rnacentral:rRNA from 1 species